GCAUUGGUAGUUCAGUGGUAGAAUUCUUGCCUCUCAUGCAGGAGACCUGGGUUUGAUUCCUGGCCAAUACA
rnacentral:tRNA from 1 species